GCCUGGGUGGCUCAGUCGGUUGAGCGUCUGACUUCGGCUCAGGUCAUGAUAUCACAGUUCCUGGGUUCGAGCCCUGCAUCGGGCU
rnacentral:tRNA from 1 species